rnacentral:misc_RNA from 1 species
GCACUUAUAGGGAGCAUGAAAGUCCUCCUGCAGGACCACAAUUUUAAAAACAUCACAAUUAAAUAAAACUUAUCUGUUUUUUUGUAAAGACUAAAAACUUAGUGAUUUAAUCAAACGAGCUGAAGUAAAUGACAUGGAAAUUGAAGAUAUAGCAGGCCCACACCCUGAUUCGCGAAUCUGAUGAAGGGUAAUCAAGAUUUUCCCGUUGAGUAGAAAACCUAGGUCAACUUAGGUUGGCUCUUGAAGAAUUUGUUCAGAGUGGCAUUUAUCGAAAAUCUCCAACUAAAUCAGCUUCUGGUGGGACAGACAAAUACAAAUUUAUCUUGACUAUUCCAUUCGGAGGGUCACCCCAAGUUAACGUAUAAGCAUAACCUUCCAGUCAGAAACAGAUAAAAGAGCGAAUUUUCCAAAGAAAAUGACAAGGAAUGCUAAGAUGAUAUUGUCGUGUGAAUUUAUUCACUGUUCAGCUUAAAAUUUGCGACUCAAUGGAGCAUUUCUUUUCAUAAAUCAAGCAAGGACUGGGUCAUAUAAUUAAAGAGGUUUCUCAUGUAGAGUAACUGUCACAUUUAAGGCUAUCUAGAAUCCUCAACUACUCGUAUUAAUUUGCACAGAUGGAAGUUCCUGCCGUGGAUUUAAUGCCAACAACCAAGAAACUUGUAGGGAGGGGGAGAUGGGGUUUUGCAUGUGAAGUUAAUAAAUGAGACAACAGAGGCUGGGAGUGUGAUCCUGGCCUUCCAGUGUCCAGUGGUCCUCUUUGUCAAUUUUUGCCAGCAGAGUCUUAGCCGCUGACCUGUGUAAAGUAUCAUCUAUUUUUGUAUUCUAUGGGAUAUUGGGAUCACGUGUAAUUGCUAGUACUAACCAAGCUACUUGUCCUUCUUGCAUGGGUAAGCACCCGAGAGAAGAGAAGAUACCUGUAUCAUGUUAAGCCCUGACAAAUCCAUCGCCACCAAGCCAGGGAUGGAUGGAAAUCGGAAACAGGAAAAACCAGGGUUUACUGCAUGUAAUCAUGGCGAUCAUGUCCUGUUGCUCUCCGCUUACAAGCUUUUUGCCAGGGUUUUAUUCAAUUGAAA